GUUCCUUUUGCACACACCAAAAUGGCUAGCUCUUCAGGCAAGCCAUUAUGGGCUAAUAGCAUUAUUUUCUGGGCAUAGUUAUGCCUGAAAGGCAAGUGAAUCUGCCACCUAACUGACUGAAGAGCUCCAAAUGUGGAAAUCCAGUGUAGAAGUUGGACACAGAGAAUG